rnacentral:lncRNA from 1 species
ACGUAUUCCCUUGUUCUCUAGGUGGGCUCCUGAUUGCUGAAACUUGAAUGUAUUCCCUUGUUAUCCAAGUGGGCUCCUGAUUGCCGAAACUUGAAUGUAUUCCCUUGUUCUCCAGGUGGGCUCCUGAUUGCUGAACUUGAAAUGUAUUCCCUUGCUCUCUAGGUGGGCUCCUGAUUUCAACAAAAAUAGACAAAACAAAGAAUAUUUUCUGCCCCAGUUUGGUAGCUGGGUACAUAUGUGAUUGUUAACCCGUUCAUAUUACCAAAUAUCAAUAAGAACUUGAAAGCUGAAACUUGAAUUGUAUUCCCUUGCUCUCCAGGUGGGAUCCUGAUUGCCGAACUUGAAUUUUAUUCCCUUGUUCUCCAGGUGGGCGCCUGAUUG